GUGUUGCAAAAAAGGAGAGACGGUCAGCAGUCCCCUUUGACAAGGACGGAAGAGCUCAAUCAAUCUUUUUAACACAUAUGGGCAUUGCUCUCUACUUUAGAGCAACCUAUUUUU
rnacentral:ncRNA from 1 species